rnacentral:rRNA from 1 species
CCUACGGGUGGCAGCAGUGAGGAAUAUUGGGCAAUGGACGAGAGUCUGAACCAGCAAAGUAGCGUGAAGGAUGACUGUCCUAUGGGUUGUAAACUUCUUUUUUAAAGGAGUAAAACGAGACACGUGUGCAUUUUUGCAUGUACUUUAUGAAUAAGGAUCGGCUAACUCCGUGCCAGCAGCCGCGGUAAUACGGAGGAUUCGAGCGUUAUCCGGAUUUAUUGGGUUUAAAGGGAGCGUAGAUGGGUUGUUAAGUCAGUUGUGAAAGUUUGCGGCUCAACCGUAAAAUUGCAAUUGAUACUGGUAGACUUGAGUACAGUUGAGGUAAGCGGAAUUCGUGGUGUAGCGGUGAAAUGCUUAGAUAUCACGAAGAACCCCGAUUGCGAAGGCAGCUUACUAAACUGUGACUGACACUGAUGCUCGAAAGUGUGGGUAUCAAACAGGAUUAGAUACCCCAGUAGUC